CCUACGGGUGGCAGCAGUGGGGAAUAUUGGACAAUGGGGGCAACCCUGAUCCAGCCAUGCCGCGUGUGUGAAGAAGGCCCUCGGGUUGUAAAGCACUUUCAGUGAGGAAGAACGCCUGGUGGUUAAUACCCAUCAGGAAAGACAUCACUCACAGAAGAAGCACCGGCUAACUCCGUGCCAGCAGCCGCGGUAAUACGGAGGGUGCGAGCGUUAAUCGGAAUUACUGGGCGUAAAGCGCGCGUAGGUGGCUUGAUAAGCCGGUUGUGAAAGCCCCGGGCUCAACCUGGGAACGGCAUCCGGAACUGUCAAGCUAGAGUGCAGGAGAGGAAGGUAGAAUUCCCGGUGUAGCGGUGAAAUGCGUAGAGAUCGGGAGGAAUACCAGUGGCGAAGGCGGCCUUCUGGACUGACACUGACACUGAGGUGCGAAAGCGUGGGUAGCAAACAGGAUGAGAUACCCGAGUAGUC
rnacentral:rRNA from 1 species